UGUCGGUUAAAUACCGACCUGCAUGAAUGGCGUAACGAGAUGGGAGCUGUCUCAAAGAGGGAUCCAGUGAAAUUGUAGUGGAGGUGAAAAUUCCUCCUACCCGCGGCAAGACGGAAAGACCCCGUGGACCUUUACUACAGCUUGACACUGCUACUUGGAUAAGAAUGUGCAGGAUAGGUGGGAGGCUUUGAGUAUAUGACGCCAGUUGUAUAUGAGCCAUUGUUGAGAUACCACUCUUUCUUAUUUGGGUAGCUAACCAGCUUGA
rnacentral:rRNA from 1 species